AUGAUUUUUCUCAUAGGAACACUAUAAAGUACUGAUACACAGGAACUUGUUAAAAAAAGUAAAAAAAAAAAAAAAAAAAAAGAAAAAGAAAAGAAAAGUAGUAAAACUGUCAUUAAGACUGUGAAGGGAGUUGGGCAGUAGUGCAGCAAGUUAAAUGCAAGUGGCGCAAAGCCCAAGGACCGGUUUAAGGAUCCCGGUUCGAGCCCCCGGCUCCCCACCUGCAGGGAAGUUGCUUCACAAGCGGUGAACAGGUCUACAGGUGUCUAUCUUUCUCUCCCCCUCUCUGUCUUCCCCUCCUCUCUCAGUUUCUCUCUGUUCUAUCCAACAGCAAAGGCAUCUAUAACGGCAGCGGUUAUAACCGCAACGGGGGCAACAAGUGGGGGAAAAGUGGCUUCCGGGAGAGGUGGAUUCAUAGUGCAGGCAUGGAGCCCCAGCAAUAACUCUGGAGACCAAAAAAAAAAAAAAAAAAAAAAAGAAAAA